rnacentral:misc_RNA from 1 species
GGGGCUAUGUGUCCCAUAGUACCUCUCACAGUUGUGGUCACAUGCGAGUCCCUGUGAUCUAAUAGCUUUGCCAAUCCAAAAUCUCCUACAACAGCUUCACAGUAGUCAUCAAGCAGUAUAUUUGCAGCCUUAACAUCCCUGUGAAUUAUCUUGGGGUCACACUGCUCGUGCAAGUACAAUAAACCUCUUGCAGCUCCCAAGGCAAUUCUUUUCCUUGUGCCCCAGUCCAAGGUUGGUUUGGCCUUGAAACGAGUAGCGACGCUCCCAUUGGACAUGUAAGGGUAAAUCAACAGCCU